AUGCAGGGCCCUUGCCCGGGCAGAGGUUUGCGGGCCAGGCUGCGCGUCCGCGUCGGGACCCACAGACUCGCGCAGCUCCGAGAACCCGCCCGCAGGCAGCGGCUCCUUGCUGUUUCACCGGCAAGGAUCCGGGAGUUCCCUGCUUCACUCCACUGGCCCCAUAUUGUGCGAGAGCCACCCACCAGACGAGAUUUACUGAGGAUGCAGAUCCGUUCCAGGGAGGACGCCAUAGACGCGAUCAAGUUGAACAAAAAACAGUCUCCACUUGAGCAGUUAAUAACUCGUUGGAACUAACGAGUUAAUUGGGGCUGGGACAAAAAACUAUAACAUCAGGAUUGAACAGCUUGUUAAAGAAACACCACCCCCUUGCAGCCAGACGCCAAUGUUUACGCAGUGAACCAUGUCUCUCGCAAGGAUGGAGUUCUGUCUAUGCCUCUCGGGAAGUCCCUGCUCCAUGGAGGGAAUCACGGUGUGUGUCCUCCGUAUGCAGAGAUGCGUCCUGUCAUUGUAAAGCUGUGGGAAGUGUCCAGAAGCAGGGAGCUGCCGCCCCGGCCCUUAAAGAAGAGGUGGGUGUCCCGGGAAGAGGGAGGGUGGGCAUUUGGGGGCUCCCCACAGAUUGUGGGUGUUUGCUCACAGAAGCAGUCGCGGCACUGACCCGGGGGAAGGCCCAUGUGGAAGCCACACUGGGAAUCACCGCCGGGGCCCGUCCCCCCUGAAGUGUCCCGGCAGCCUGUCCCCGAGGGCCCCAUAAAGUCAGCCGGUAUGGCACGUAUGAAAAUAGCAAGUCUCGUGUGGUUUUUAGGAGAACUGCAAAGAAAUGUGUUUCUCUUAAUCACCCACAAAUUAAAACCCAAGGAGCCAAUUUGUUAUCUGAUGAAGAAAGAGCUACAGCUGCUGGGUGUUGGAGGGUCCCUUUAGAGGAAGCCUGAUCUGGACAUGCUCUGUCUCUCCGUGUGUCUAUCUCUCUGUCUCUGUCUCUCUCUAUCUCUGCAUCUGUGUCUCUCUGUCUGUCUCUGUCUCUCCAUGUGUGUGUCUGUCUCUCCAUGUGUCUUUCUGUGCCGUAUCUCUCCUACCCUCCUUUCCUCCCUCCCUCAGGGUCCUGGGUGCUGGCAUGGAGUUUACUCUGCCCUGGACGUUGGGAGUAGCUGAGUGAGGUGUCUCUCCAGUGAAUUCCAGGGGGCAGGAGCAGGUGUCCGAGCAGCCACACAGGGGGGCCAGAUUGGCAGGCACCGAGCCUGGAAGGGCCAGACAGACCCAGCCCCCAGUGCAAGACCCC
rnacentral:lncRNA from 1 species